CGGAUUGUAGUCUGCAACCCGACUACAUGAAGCUGGAAUCGCUAGUAAUCGCGAAUCAGAAUGUCGCGGUGAAUACGUUCCCGGGUCUUGUACACACCGCCCGUCACACCAUGGGAGUCGGAAAUGCCCGAAGUCAGUGACCCAACCGCAAGGAGGGAGCUGCCGAAGGUGGAGCCGGUAACUGGGGUGAAGUCGUAACAAGGUAUC
rnacentral:rRNA from 1 species